ACAAACUUGGUCAUUUAGAGGAAGUAAAAGUCGUAACAAGGUUUCCGUAGGUGAACCUGCGGAAGGAUCAUUAUCGUGGAGCUUCGGCUCCUUCGAGGGAGAACCCUUGCCUUUUCGAGCACCUGUUUGUUUCCUCGGCAGGCCCGCCUGCCAAUGGGGGACCCCUUAAACUCUUGCAAUAACCUGUACAAAAUCGUCUGAACAAAAAAAAAUCUAAAUCAAAACUUUCAACAACGGAUCUCUUGGUUCUGGCAUCGAUGAAGAACGCAGC
rnacentral:misc_RNA from 1 species